rnacentral:rRNA from 1 species
GAUGAACGCUAGCGGCAGGCUUAAUACAUGCAAGUCGUGGGGCAGCAUGAGUGUAGCAAUACAUUUGAUGGCGACCGGCAAACGGGUGCGGAACACGUACACAACCUUCCUAUAAGUGGGGAAUAGCCCAGAGAAAUUUGGAUUAAUACCCCGUAAUAUAACGAUGUGGCAUCACAUUGUUAUUAUAGCUUCGGCGCUUAUUGAUGGGUGUGCGGCUGAUUAGAUAGUUGGCGGGGUAACGGCCCACCAAGUCUACGAUCAGUAGCUGAUGUGAGAGCCAGAUCUGCGACACGGGCACAGAGACUCGGGCCCGGAUUGUACGGGAGGCAGCAGUAAGGAAUAUUGGUCAAUGGACGCAAGUCUGAACCAGCCAUGCCGCGUGAAGGAUUAAGGUCCUCUGGAUUGUAAACUUCUUUUAUCUGGGACGAAAAAAGGCUUUUCUAAGGCACUUGACGAUACCAGAUGAAUAAGCACCGGCUAACUCCGUGCCAGCCGCCGCCGUAAAAC